rnacentral:ncRNA from 1 species
CGGUAUGAAGGAGAGACCCAUGAAUAGGGUAGAGAAUAACUAAACUUGGAGGGCAUGCUUCCUAUUUUAAUAAUUGGGUAGUUUAUCUGGGAUGGAUGCCUCCUAAAGAGUAAUAGAGGUGUGCAAUAUAAUGGUAGGCUCAAGCUCAAAUUAUGCUUGUGAGCGUGAGACCAACUAAUCAAACAGAGACGAAAGUCGGCCAUAGUGAUUCGGGCAUUUCCGUGUGGAAGGGCACUCACUCAAUGGAUUAAUGGUACGUCGGGGAUAAUAGGUUGAUGACUCCCAAGAGCUCUUAUUAGUGAAGUUGUUUGGCACCUCGAUGUCGACUCAUCACAUCCUGGGAUUGAAGAAGGUCCCAAGGGUUUGGUUGUUCGUCGAUGAAAGUGGUAUGUGAGUUAGUUUAGAACGUUGUGAGACAGUUCGAUUCCUAUCUACUG